rnacentral:sRNA from 1 species
GUCACUCUUACCUAUCCCUUCCUCGUAAA